CCUACGGGGGGCAGCAGUGAGGAAUAUUGGUCAAUGGACGAGAGUCUGAACCAGCCAAGUAGCGUGAAGGAUGACUGCCCUAUGGGUUGUAAACUUCUUUUAUAAAGGAAUAAAACGAGGCACGUGUGCCCUUUUGCAUGUACUUUAUGAAUAAGGAUCGGCUAACUCCGUGCCAGCAGCCGCGGUAAUACGGAGGAUCCGAGCGUUAUCCGGAUUUAUUGGGUUUAAAGGGAGCGUAGAUGGGUUGUUAAGUCAGUUGUGAAAGUUUGCGGCUCAACCGUAAAAUUGCAAUUGAUACUGGCAGUCUUGAGUACAGUUGAGGUAGGCGGAAUUCGUGGUGUAGCGGUGAAAUGCUUAGAUAUCACGAAGAACCCCGAUUGCGAAGGCAGCUUACUAAACUGUGACUGACAUUGAUGCUCGAAAGUGUGGGUAUCAAACAGGAUUAGAUACCCUAGUAGUC
rnacentral:rRNA from 1 species